GAUGAACGCUAGCGGCAGGCCUAACACAUGCAAGUCGAGGGGUAACAUAGAAAAGCUUGCUUUUCUGAUGACGACCGGCGCACGGGUGCGUAACGCGUAUACAACCUACCUUUUAGCGGGGAAUAGCCCAGGGAAACUUGGAUUAAUGCCCCAUAGUAUAUGGACUUCUCCUGAAGUUUAUAUUAAACAUUUAUGGCUAUUAGAUGGGUAUGCGUCCUAUUAGUUAGUUGGUAAGGUAACGGCUUACCAAGGCAGCGAUAGGUAGGGGUCCUGAGAGGGAGAUCCCCACACUGGUACUGAGACACGGACCAGACUCCUACGGGAGGCAGCAGUGAGGAAUAUUGGACAAUGGGCGAGAGCCUGAUCCAGCCAUGCCGCGUGCAGGAAGACUGCCCUAUGGGUUGUAAACUGCUUUUACAGAGGAAGAACCACCCCCACGUGUGGGGGUUUGACGGUACUCUGCGAAUAAGGAUCGGCUAACUCCGUG
rnacentral:rRNA from 1 species